GAUGAACGCUGGCGGCGUGCCUAAUACAUGCAAGUCGAGCGAACAGACGAGGAGCUUGCUCCUCUGACGUUAGCGGCGGACGGGUGAGUAACACGUGGAUAACCUACCUAUAAGACUGGGAUAACUUCGGGAAACCGGAGCUAAUACCGGAUAAUAUAUUGCACCGCAUUGUUCAAUAGUGAAAGACGGUUUUGCUGUCACUUAUAGAUGGAUCCGCGCCGCAUUAGCUAGUUGGUAAGGUAACGGCUUACCAAGGCAACGAUGCGUAGCCGACCUGAGAGGGUGGUCGGCCACACGGGAAGGGAGACAGGGACCAGACUCCUACGGGAGGCAGCAGUAGGGAAUCUUACGCAAUGGGCGAGAGCUUGACGGAGCAACGCCGCGUGAGUGAUGAAGGUCUUCGGAUCGUAAAGCUCUGUUAUUAGGGAAGAACAAAUGUGUAAGUAACUGUGCACGUCUUGACGGUACCUAAUCAGAAAGCCACGGCUAACUACGUG
rnacentral:rRNA from 1 species